rnacentral:lncRNA from 1 species
ACCCCUAAGGGAAGGAACCCCGGGCAAACAGCCCGCAGAGCACAUACAAGCUUAAACAAGCUUGCUUAAACGUCUCCUUCUUCGACCUCCAGCUCACUCAGGCAGCAUAAGUCAAAAGAUGACCCCCCUGGACUCUGUCAGACGGGCACCUAAUUGGAGCCAUGUUGAGGUGCUGGACCUGAUCGCAAUAUGGGGAGAGAUGAGGAGAACCAGUGCAACUGCAGGCAAGGGAUCUAAAGGAAACCGUCAGAAACAGGCGAUUUGUGAGAGGAUUGCAGCACAGAUGGUGUCACGAGGGCAUCAGCGGGACUGGCUCCAGGUCAGGACCAAGAUGAAGUCCCUGAAAUCCCUCUAUGUGAAGGGCAGAGAUGCCAAUAGAGUGCCUGGGGCAGCCAAGAACACGAUCCCCUUCCACAAAGAGCUUGCAGACAUCCUUGAGAGGGGUCGCACUGUGGCUCCUUGCCAUACAGUCCGGUGCACAGCCUUGGGCCCUUCCUGCUGUGACCAGCAAGAGGGGGACAGCGGUGAGGCAGCCUCCUCCCAGCAGUUUCCUGCUGCCCUCCAGGAAAGGUCUGAGGAUCUGGUGUCCUCCGUGGCCCUGAUCCUGAGCCCCAUCGCUGAACCUAGAACGCAGGAAACCCAGGAGGUGGCCCCAGGACAGGAUGGUUGCAAGUCAGAGGUCCCAGAAAUUGAGCACCCUGCAGGAAACCUCUCUGCUCACUUAGCCAGCAUGAGCCAAAAGAUGCCCACCCUGGACUCUGUCAAGCGGGCACCUAAUUGGAGCCGUGAUGAGGUGCUGGACCUGAUCGCUAUAUGGGGAGAGAUGAGGAGAGCCAUUGCAACUGCAGCGAAGGGAACUAAAGGAAACCGGCAGAAUCAGGCCAUUUGUGAGAGGAUUGCGGCACAGAUGGUGUCACGAGGGCAUCAGCGGGACUGGCUCCAGGUUAGGACCAAGAUAAAGUCCCUGAAAUCCCUCUAUGUGAGGGGCAGGGAUGCCAGUAGAGUGCCUGGGGCAGCCAAGAACACGAUCCCCUUCCACAAAGAGAUUGCAGACAUCCUUGAGAGGGAUCACAUUGUGGCUCCUCGCCAUAGAGUCCAGUGCACAGCCUUGGGCCCUUCCUCCUGUGACCAGCAAGAGGGGGACAGCGGUGAGGCAGCCUCCUCCCAUCAGCCAUCUUCUGCCCACCAACGAAGUUGUGAGGACCUGGUGUCCUCCGUGGCCCUGAUCCUGAGCCCCAUCACUGAACCUGGAACACAGGAGACUUGGGAGGUGGCCCCAGGACAGGAUGGUUGCAAGUCAGAGGUCCCAGAAAUCGAGUGCCCUGGAGGAAACCUCUUUGCACUUAACCAGGAGGACAAAGGCAUUGUGAUGUGCCCAGUGCAUGAGUGGUGGCAAUCAGUAGCAUGCCCGUGCAUUAUAUGGACUGCCAGCCAAGCCUGUUCAAGGGAAAUCCUACAGAUGAGAGAGGCCUCUGCAUCUAGCAGUGCAGAUGGUGCCACGUGGCCUCAAGCGGACACUUUAGCUCAGAGGAUAUCCCAUAGCCGAAGGUGACAGAGAGAGUACCACAAUCAACUUCUUGAUGACACUGGAGACUCAUCUGCACGCCGAGCAGAGAGCGCUGAGCGUUAGCUUUCUUCCUAUGGGGUCAGGCAGGAAGAGACCGCAUCCACUCUACAGGCUCUUCAGCAGUCUUCUGAGGCUGGGGAGGAGCAGGUAACAUCCUGGUCGUGUGAUGCCGUAGAUGCGUGGAGUCCAUUCUGGUUGAUGUGGCCAUUGCCCCCAAUAGAACAGCCACAACUGUAGAGAAGGCAGCUACUGCCAAGGCCACGGCUGUGGCUUAGGCAGCGAAUGCAGUGGUCAUGGUGGCUGCUGCCACAGUCGUGGCUAUAGAGAGGAUAGCUUCUGCCAUGGAGGAAUACUACUGCACCCGGACAGCAAGGCUGGCCUGUCACCCUCUCUCUGACCACAGGCAUUGGUCCUAGCCUCCAGCUGAGCUGAGCUACCAUGGGGUCUUGCCAUGUCCUCCCAUUUCUGCCUUCCGUCCCUGGCUGGCAAUUGUCCCAAGUGGUUGCUGGAACUAUAGGGAUGCUCCACAGGCAUGCUGGGUGCAUGCCUCCCUACAUUACAUCUGUGAUACUACCACCCCUCCAGGUGACAGGAUGGCAAGCAGGAAGCAUGGGUCUGGCAUGUGCAAAGGAGCAGCGCUUGCCUUCCCUGGGUGGGCAGGGAACACCACUGGCAUCCCAGGUGCUUGCACCCCAGGAAGCACCAUCAAAAGAUAGCUGCUAAGCUUUGAUGACCUGACUCAGUUCCCCAGCAGCGCAGUCAGAAAACUCUGCCACGCAGGUGCAGCUCAGGCUCUGAUUAGGCUCAGGGGAGCUGCAGCCAGCGUGCCACAGUUCUCCCAAGUAGCAGGGGAGGGGGUAGCCAGCCCCCUGGCUAUAUGCCAUGGUUUUAUUUGGCAGGUUGCACCAUAGUUUGCAGCUUGCACGUGCGUGACUUUGUGUUUAUUGGGAACAAAUAAAGUUUGCACUUUUUGGGGGAACA